AUUGAACGCUGGCGGCAGGCCUAACACAUGCAAGUCGAGCGGAGCGGCGGACGGGUGAGUGAUGCCUAGGAAUCUGCCUGGUAGUGGGGGAUAACGUCCGGAAACGGGCGCUAAUACCGCAUACUAUCAGAUGAGCCUAGGUCGGAUUAGCUAGUUGGUGGGGUAAAGGCCUACCAAGGCGACGAUCCGUAACUGGUCUGCGUGGAUGAUCAGUCACACGGGAACUGGGACACGGUCCAGACUCCAACGGGAGGCGGCAGUGGGGAAUAUUGGAAAAGGGGCGAAAGCCUGAUCCGGCCAGGCCGCGGGUGGGAGGAAGGUCUUCGGAUUGUAAAGCACUUUAAGUUGGGAGGCGUUACCAACAGAAUAAGCACCGGCUAACUUCGUGCCAGCAGCCGCGGUAAUAC
rnacentral:rRNA from 1 species